CGCGUUAAAUCGACCGCCUGGGGAGUACGGCCGCAAGGUUAAAACUCAAAUGAAUUGACGGGGGCCCGCACAAGCGGUGGAGCAUGUGGUUUAAUUCGAUGCAACGCGAAGAACCUUACCUACUCUUGACAUCCAGAGAAUCCUUUAGAGAUAGAGGAGUGCCUUCGGGAGCUCUGAGACAGGUGCUGCAUGGCUGUCGUCAGCUCGUGUUGUGAAAUGUUGGGUUAAGUCCCGCAACGAGCGCAACCCUUAUCCUUUGUUGCCAGCACGUUAUGGUGGGAACUCAAAGGAGACUGCCGGUGAUAAACCGGAGGAAGGUGGGGAUGACGUCAAGUCAUCAUGGCCCUUACGAGUAGGGCUACACACGUGCUACAAUGGCAGAUACAAAGAGAAGCGACCUCGCGAGAGCAAGCGGAACUCAUAAAGUCUGUCGUAGUCCGGAUUGGAGUCUGCAACUCGACUCCAUGAAGUCGGAAUCGCUAGUAAUCGUAGAUCAGAAUGCUACGGUGAAUACGUUCCCGGGCCUUGUACACACCGCCCGUCACACCAUGGGAGUGGGUUGCAAAAGAAGUAGGUAGCUUAACCUUCGGGAGGGCGCUUACCACUUUGUGAUUCAUGACUGGGGUGAAGUCGUAACAAGGUAACCGUAGGGGAACCUGCGGUUGGAUCACCUCCUUACCUAAAAGA
rnacentral:rRNA from 1 species